AAAAGAAAAGGGUAUGGCAAUAGUAGGGCUUGCAGUCGCACUUUUUUUCUUUUCUGUUCUGUUCUCUUCUUUUCCUUUCUUUUUCGUUUUGCUUUUUUGCGUGUGCAAAUCAGGUGG
rnacentral:ribozyme from 1 species